UGGGCUGGAGUGACAUCAUGAAUGAGCCAAAGGUGCCAUGUAAUGAGCACCUACUGUGUGCAAGGCACAGGCUGGGGUCUGUCCUUCAUCUGCUCUAACCUCACAGCCCUGGUGCACCAGGGAUGGCUGACCCACCACUCAGUCCAUUGCAGCUCAGAGAGGUUAGCCAUGUGCCCCAGGUCACCCAACCUGGCCAGGGCAGGACUGGGCCUGGACCCCAGGAUGUCAGUUCCCAUUGGUGUCCUCACGCUGCCCCCAGGUAGACACCAGCACCAAGCUCUGGGCUCCUCAUCUUCAGGAGUCUGUCCUGUGUCACCUAGAGCUGAGGGUCCUUCUCAAUACCUGCCCCACAGCAUAGCAGGUAUGCAGGUGGGCAGGAUUGGGGUGAACCCUGAUGCACACUUGGGAUGGUUGGGCUGGGCUGGGGCUCUGCCUCCUGAGCUCUGUGAGGCCCCUUAUGUCACCUAAUGUCACCACAGGCCUAUGAGCAGGAAGGGACCUGGGAUGAACAGACAUGAACCUGACACUCAGAGAAGAGAAGGGAACACCCAGCCCCACAGUGGGAGCAGCAGAGCCAGGACCUGAACCAGGUCUGACUCCAGCCCUUGUUCCCUGCCCUGAGAGACCCUCACUUAUCCCUCUGGGCUGGACUCCAUGGUGGUGAGGGACAGACCCUCAGAGCCUUCUGGAAAUUCAGAUUGGAGAUGAGAGCACAGAUGCAAAGAUUCUCCUGGGAUUUCUCCAUUCUGGCAUCUGGCUGAUGUUUACUGAGCAGGUGCCCCAUCCAGCAUAGGACCAGCCCAGGAGGGUGAGAGGACAUCAGCAUAGACCAGGAAGAGGGUGAUUAUUCUGAGAUCUGUCCAGAAGGUCACUGUGGUUCAAACAGUCAGAGAAGCUGAGGUAUUUACAAAAUAUUUUCCUGCAUCAAUGUCUUCCAUGAAGAACUUGGCCCAGUCCCUGUGAACCAGAAGUUUCUGUCUGUCUAAGGGUAUAUCCAUCUCUUCUGGAUACAGACAGUCCUCCAGCUCCCCCAACACCAGAUCAUCACGGGGUUCCCUAAGGGGAUCACAGAGCCUGGCUCAGGCCAGAUGGUGGGUUUGGGGAGUGUCCCUGGAAGGAAUCAGAGGCUGCAUUAGAAAGACCUUCCCACUCCCUCAUUCUCCCUGCUCAGCCCAUGCCCCUUCUCUUUUAUCACCUAAUCUCCAAACCUCUGUGCCACCUCCUGAGCCCCAGACAUGAAGUAGGAGGAAGGACAGAGAGACUGGGGAGGACUCACCAUUCUGCUCACACGUUUUCUGGCCCAGACUCAGCCCCGGAAGAGAGUCCCUGUCAGAUUUGCACCCAGAUGUCUGAGCUGAUUCCCUUUUAUUAGGGCCUCAUCUGCUCCAGCUGCCUGAGCCCUGAGGUUCCCUGUGAACAAGCUUGUGCUGCUGCCACAUCCUUUCCUGCUGCCCCAUCCCCAUGUCUGUAACUGACAGAAGCAGGGAAGAGCAGGAAGGAUGGACAUCUGCUCUGAGUGCUCCCGCUCUGCAGGUGGACGAGACCCUAGGUGUGUCUCUGUCCUCUAGGCUCCAAUCCUGGGCCUGGAGGGCAGAGAUGCACAGGAUGUGGUGAGUCAGGGGCUGCUACUGCCUUUCCAGGUUCCAACCCCUGUGGACCCACAGCCAGGGGAUGCCCCUGCCAUGGGGUCGGCUCUGGGUUUUUCCAUGAUGAGGGCUCAAGAGGACACGAGGCAUUGAGGAGACUCUCACCCAGAUCUGGGGUCUCUAUUCCCUGCCAGGAUCCUCUGCCUUGUCUUUGCUCCUGUCAGAGAGGGCGGGACCCAGGCUCUGAUCCUCAGCCCAUCCUGCACAGGCUGACGCUAAAUAGAACUCGCUACUCAUUGUCUCAGCCUCCCACAAACAGCAUUUACUUGUUCACUGAUCACCUAGUAAAGCCGAGUGUGUCAGAGCUAUAAAUGCAUCCCUGAUCCAGGAGACUGAUUUUCUGCAUUUUGAGCACUCUUUGUAGCAUAAAAUGAGCAUUCCGAGUUGAAAGUGGAAAUGCUGUUUUUUUCAUCCUCAUUGAGGGAUAAGUUUAUCAAUUUUGUAGAGAAAGGAUGGGAGAGACAGUUAGACAGGCAUUGAUGAGAAAGAGAAACACUGAUCAGUUGUCUCUGCUGCACACCAAGACUGGGAUGGAACUCACAACCUUUUGGUGUGUGAGUAAGUAAGUAAGCCAAGCAAGUAAGCCACUGGGCCAGGGCUGAGGGAAGGGGUGUUGAAUGAGGUUGAACCCUAGGAGGUGGGAGUGAGAAUACUCUGGAGAGGAAAGAAUAUCAUAGGGAAAUCUAGAGACAGAGACUGUUUGAUAGCAGUGAGGGCAGGUGAGGUAGUGGCUGGUCAUGGGAAUUAUCUUAUGCCACAUAACGCUACUGGAUUAAGUGUGUGAGGCAGAGACAUUUACAGGAAUAAACUGUUACAGUCACACUGGGUUAUGAAUCUCAUAUGUGCCACGUGUCAUAGAGGAACUAGAGCAGUGAAAUGUGUGUCAGUGAUGCGUAAUGUGAACAGUAAUUGAACUCCAGUUCUAUGUGUCCAACACUAUUAGAUGAAAGGCUUCCAUGGAUUCACCACACAAUCCAUGCAUACUUUUAGGUGUCACAACACAUGCAGGGAAGGGAAAUUAGAAGAAAUCUCAGUGUUGCUUCUAAUCCUGUGCUUUUAGCUGGAAUAUGCUAGUUCUACAGGACUCUAAGGAAGCAGAAAUGGAGGAGAACUGAUGGUCCAUAGGAGGCGGUGUGAGUGUGUCUCUGUGUGUAAGUGUAUAUGUGUGAGUGUAUAUGUGUGAGUGUGUGUAUGACUGUGUGUUCACAAAGUAACUGCACCAAUCUGGUUGAGGGAAGCAGCAGUGAGAGCUGAGGAUGGAGGGUCACAGGGGGAUGAUUAUGAAUAGCUGUGAGUUCAGAAGAAAGAGUCUAAAUUUACCCUGAAGACAGUGAGGACCAUGGAUGGAUUUGAGCAGAAAUGGACAGAUACUGAGAAAAAGGUGGAGAGUCUGCUGUGGAGGGCAACUUGCAGAAGAGAGUGAGGACUUGGAGCUCAGAACCCAGGCAGGUGGUGAAUGUGGCCACUGCCUUGGGGACAUGAAGGGUGACCUUCUCUUUCUGCCUCAUUGACUGAAGGCCCCCAGGGAGCCCUCAUGACAGGGAGCCAGGGGAAGGUCAGGGGGAGGGGCAUGGAUGAGCCCAGGGUCUGUGCAACACUCUGCUCCUAUAGGAGAGCUCAAUGCCCCCUCCUGGCCCUGGAACACAGGGGCUGCAUCUCACAGUUUCCACCUGACUCUGUGUCUCUGUGACACAUGGGCUCUUUCUCCCUCUUCUUGGGGCAAGUCCUUUGGGUCAUUUCUGCCUCCUCAGAGCAGAGCAUUUCUGCCUCCUUUGGUGCUGGGCAUCACUCUCCUAUUGAAACUUUGGAGACUUUGAGGAUUCAGAAAACAAUGGACAUUUGUGGAAGCUCUGUUAGAGGCAGAACAACACCCCCCCACCCUUUAAAUGUCAGUUGUUGCAAUACCACAUCCUGAAUGGCUGAAGGACCCUUGAGCAGCCUGCUUCCUCUGCUGCUCUCACUUUUCUCACUUGUAGCUCAGUGAUACCAGCACCACCCCCGCAAGUGUGAUUAGAAUUUACUCUGCCUGAGAUAUUGCGGGAAAGAAGCCAGACAUGCAGAUUUAGAUGUAGAUGUUGGAAGUUUGAGAAAGUGAAAAGCAGAGAUACCUUGUCCAAUGGAGCAGAGGGAAGGAUCAGACUCAGACCACAGUGCAGGGUCAUGUGAUCACAAGAGAGACCCUCACAGUGCAGUCGGCAGCUCCUGGUCUUUCCAUCACAGGUGCUGGGCCAGCUGGGGGAGUCUGUGGAACAAGGUGAACUGCAUUCCACAAAUGAAGUUCAGUCCAUGCACAAAAUCAGUGCUAGAUUCACAACAGACUGGAGUAAACCAAUUACUUUUUCUUUAGCAAAAUAUGUAGGAAGGAAAUGUCUUUUUUCUUUGUUCUUUUUUUCUUUGUAGGAAGCUUGUUUUAAAAAUCUUUUUAGAACAUUUUUAUUCUACUACAGUUGUCCCAAUUUCCCCCCUUUGCCCUCGUUUGCCCAUGCCAGGCCUCCACUCCCACAGUCAGUUCCCACACUGUUGUUUAUGCCCAUUGGCCAUUCAUACAUGUUUUUGACUAGUCCCUUCCCUUUCCCCCCACUAUUAUCCCUCUCCCUGCCUCCUCUGUUCACUGUCAGUCCAUGAUUCCAUGCCUGUGGUUAUAUUUUUUCAUUAGUUUAUUUUGCUCAUUAGAUUCCUCUUAUAGGUGAGAUUGUAUGGCAUUUGCCUGUCACCAACUGGCUUAUUUCACCGAAUUAGCAUAAUAUUCUGCAGUCCCAUGCAUGCUGUUGUGAAAUGUAGGAACUCCUUCUUUCAUUCUUCUGUGUAGUAUUCCAUUGUGUAAAUGUACCACAGUUUUCUGAUCCACCCAUUUACUGAUGGGCACGUGGGUUGUUUUCAGCACUUGGCUAUUGUAAAUAGUGCUGCUAGGAACAUAGGGGUGAAUAAUUUCUUUGGAAUUGGUGAAUAGGGAUUCUUAGGCCUAUUUCCACAGGAACAGAGGAUGAGAUGGGCAGAGAAAAGCAAAGGGAAAAUUGGGACAACUGUACUAAAACAACAAUAAAACAUUGAAACACACACACAGAGCCAGGAGUGGUGUAGAUGCGGGGGUGGAGCUGUCCACCGACCAGUGCUGAAAUCUCCACCACCUCUUGGAAUUCACAUUCAAAAUAGGACAGAAGCAGGGGAGACGCAGGUGGCCCAUGGUUUUGAGGAAAGCCUCCUCCAUACACGUGCACAUUCCUGGUCAAGGCUGGACUCGGUCUUGGUGGGCACAACCUCUGGACAGUAGAUGAGCCGUCCUCACUCGGGGAUUCUGUGAUGACUUUUGUGGAUUUACUUUGCAGUAUCAGGUUUGUGCAGUUCUUACUUUAGGAAACAGGGUAAAGUCUCAGUGGACAAUGCUAUAGCAGAGCUUUUGAUGGUUUGUUUUUCAGUUGUUAAGGUGAAGCUCAAGAUCAAAAUCACAGGAUGUGGUGGGCCAGGUCCCCACACCACAGUCUGUACAGGGCACGAGGUGCCUGUCACACAGGAAGAGGACCAGCUCUGCUCACCCUAAAAAUAGCAGGUGCUGAGGGACUGACCUGAGCCACAUUUCUCAACACCCCUCAUGUUUGAGCUGUGACAUUUAUCUUUCCUAAACUCUACAGUCACAGAUAGAUUUUAACAUAGUUUGCUGCCAUUUGAAAGUGAUAACAACAACUUAGUCCCUAGUAUUCAAUAUUUCUGGGCCAAGCUGUUGUGUGAAAUGGUUAACGAUAUAAAGCUAUUUUCAGGAGAAAUAUGAAGUCUCUCUCUUCUAAUAUCUACUAGGUUUUAUACCAGAUGCGUAUUUUUUAUUCUCUUGACAAACAUAAAGCAAAGUAAACAGCUUGAUUCUGCAUUUCUAGAAGAGAAGAAAACUUAUGAGGUGUGUUUUUUGUUGUUUUAUUAAAAUCAUAUGUUUACAUAUGAGUCAAAACACAUUUUCUUCUAUGAGAGAGAGGGGGGCACAGAAAGGAAAGGAGAGAGAGAGUUUGUUAGUUUGGUAAGUUUGCCACAAUAAAAUACAACUAAAUGGGUGCCUUA